rnacentral:rRNA from 1 species
AACGAACGCUGGCGGCGUGCCUAACACAUGCAAGUCGAACGGAGUAUUCAUUUAUGAAUGCUUAGUGGCGAACGGGUGAGUAACGCGUAGACAACCUGCCUUCUAGAUGGGGACAACACUGGGAAACUAGUGCUAAUACCGAAUGUUGUAUUUCUGGUGCAUGCUAGGAAUACUAAAGAUGGCCUCUAUUUAUAAGCUAUCGCUAGAAGAUGGGUCUGCGUCUGAUUAGCUAGUUGGUGAGGUAAUGGCUCACCAAGGCGACGAUCAGUAGCCGGUCUGAGAGGAUGAACGGCCACACUGGGACUGAGAGACGGCCCAGAAUCCUACGGGAGGCAGCAGGGGGGAAUCUUCCGCAAUGGACGAAAGUCUGACGGAGCAACGCCGCGUGAGUGAAGAAGGUUUUCGGAUCGUAAAACUCUGUUUUCAGGGACGAAUGUGCAGUGUGUAAAUAAUGCAUUGUAAUGACGGUACCUGAGUAGAAAGCCACGGCUAACUACGUGCCAGCCGCCGCCGUAACAC